UACGGAGGGGGGCUAGCGUUGUUCGGAAUUACUGGGCGUAAAGCGCACGUAGGCGGACUGAUAAGUCAGGGGUGAAAUCCCGGGGCUCAACCCCGGAACUGCCUUUGAUACUGUCAGUCUAGAGUUCGAGAGAGGUGAGUGGAAUUCCGAGUGUAGAGGUGAAAUUCGUAGAUAUUCGGAGGAACACCAGUGGCGAAGGCGGCUCACUGGCUCGAUACUGACGCUGAGGUGCGAAAGCGUGGGGAGCAAACAGG
rnacentral:rRNA from 1 species